CAAAAUAUCUGGGAGGGCUAUUACGGUUUCUGAAACGAAUGUGAAAAUUACAAAAAACCGUGAUAGCCCCCCUGAGAAGGUGCAAUUGGUGUUGCAAAAGCGAAUUGGUAUUUAAUCAACGAGAUUCAGAGACGGAAGCACAAGCCCAGGAUGAUCCUUCCCGAGAAAGCAGUCUCCGUACUUCGUCUGGAACCAAGAUUCAUAACUCCAGCGAUUAGAACCUGUUCGGAUGCACUCAAAUGCAAAGUUUGUCGUGCCAUGAGAUAUUUUCCUCCUGAACAAUGCAGUAUGGUCAAUGUUAAAGUGAUCGGGUGUUUACUGUUUGUAUGUGAUGGCGACACACUAUAGUUAUACCGGUGAUUCAAGAACAGAUUGGAAUAUUCCAUCUGCGACUUGCUCUCUUUGGCGAAAGGAUAUUUCUUGAUGCAUUCGACUUUAUUUGAUAAUCUAACGAGUUUGUAUGAAAAUGUCUUAGAAGUAUGGGAGAACAUACAGAGGAAUGCCAUUGAAAUGCAUGCUAAACUGGUUUUUUUUUUAAGCAACUCAUGAUAAAAUUAUGCUGAGUCCUGCGGAUAGUUGGUUACAUGUAGACUCGACGCAAUUAGAAACAUAUCUAAACCACGGUAGGACAAAGGAUAAAAAAUUUGAUCAAGAUCUUAUGAUUCUGCGAUAAAGAAUGCGAUGUUUUCCUCUAAAAAUGCACUCCAUCAACGUUGCCAAACCAGCAACGUUGAUGGAGUGCAUUUCUUAGGGUAUGAUUUCUGGAGUAGAAUAUCUGUCAGAAGGGAAUAGAGUCAAUUAUGAUAAAUAUACUAAUCAUGAUUUAUUCUAACCAUGUUUUAAUCUGAAACUGUACAUAAUAAAAUUCCCAUUAUGCAAAAUACCUUGUACCAUACAAAAAAACCUAUUUGUAAUACAGGUAAAAUUAUAUUGUUACUGCAAAGAGCUAUUGUUACAAUUGUAUAAUCAAUAAAUCUUCCAUUUAAUUAAAAAAA